rnacentral:lncRNA from 1 species
UUGGAGCACAACAAGAACUUGUAUGAGCGGGUCAAUGCCAUUGCGUCAAGGAAGGGUUGUACUCCAUCACAGCUAGCAUUGGCCUGGGUCCAUCACCAAGGCAAUGAUGUUUGCCCCAUACCUGGCACUACCAAGAUUCAGAACCUCGAUCAGAAUAUAGGAGCUUUGUCUGUAAAACUGUCCGCAGAGGAUAAGGCGGAACUCGAAUCUAUUGCAGCCGCUGUCAAGGGUAAUAGAUAUGCGACUGACGCCAACACUUGGAAAACUUCCGACACUCCACCUUUGUCAACCUGGAAGAGCACAUGAAGAGCAAGUUUGGUUUGAUAUUUGAUGGACUUUUAUUUUAGUUUUGGCUUGGAAGAACACAUUGAAUGCAAGUUUGGUUGUUUGGUCUGAGAUUUCGUGGACUUCUGUUUUAUUUUAGCUUUGACGUCUUGGGAAGUAAUCUUGAGGUACAAGAGUGUUACGUCCUGGAUUUUGUAGUAAUCAUGAAGUACAAUAGAGUCAUGUUCCAAGUUCUGGAUGUGAUGUAAUUCCAAAUCCAUGGUCCAAAUAAAUUGUGUAAAAUCACCACUUAUAAACCUUUCCUUUCUUUCCUGCUUAUAUGGGACAUGGGGUUUCUUAUUUUCUCUCGGAGGCUCCCUCUAAGAUCUUUGCAUGGGGAUAGGUGAUGAAGCGGAGCAAGGGUAGGGACGGGGCGAUUUUUGUGCCCCGUCUUAAAUGGCACCAGGGGCAGUGGUGCUUCGCCGCCCCAUUCCCUAUCCCAUCCCAUCCCUUGCAUCAAUUAAAUAAAUAUAAAUAAAAUUAUAUGUGUACCCUAAUAAUUAGAAAUUUAACCUAAUAAUUAUAAAUUAAUUCUAAAUAAACUGAAUUGAUUCAUUAAUUAUUUGUGACUGUAAUUAAUUAGCUUGUAUAUCAUUUUUUAUUCUCCUAAUUUGGGCCAAAUAGAAUCAUACUAGAAAAUAGAAAUGCACUCAUUUUACAGUCUAUGGUCAUUCAAUUAUUAGGCUGCGCCGCUAUUUGAAGUUACGGCGGAUAAAUUCACUGUAAAGGUGUGACGCAGUUAUAUUUUGAAGGUAUAGUUCAAUUUGUGGUUAGCGUGUUAAUUUCCUAUCUUCUAUUUUUGUUAUGAUAUUUGCUAUUCAGGUUGGCAAAUCUUUGAUUAAAUGACUGAAGCUUGUGGCGAAUCAAGUUUUUGCAACUUCUUGUCAAGCUUCUUUAUCGAGGCUGGAACAGUGGCUGAGUUUUGUUGUAAACUGUUAAGAAAAUUUAAAGGCAUAAUUUCAGAAAUCUCCCCUGAGGUUUCUGACAAUUUCACUAAACCUUCUUUGAGGUUUUUAAUAUUACACUUACCUCUCUUGAUGAUAGACAAUAACUAUAAUAACCUUCAUAAUUUUUCAAAAGACAAGCCAUUGAUAAAAAAGGGAACAGAAAACAGAAAAAAGAAAAACAAUUCUUCUUGACCAGGUCAUAUAUUGUGGCCAAACUAUUUCAGCCAUGACCAUUGAAUUGUAACUUUUUAUCACUCAAAUAUACUAAUCAAGGUAGAUGUCUCCCUUCUUCUAUGACUUAAAUAUGCUACUGUUGUUGAUAAUGAUGGAAGCCAUCAUCACUGCCAACAACCCAAUUGUUCAUAUCAUUGAGUGCAAAAAAGCUACUGGUUAAUGGAAAAGUAUAAUUUGAUAAACUGUACUAAAACUACUACCCCAAACUUGCACCUUGUUGAUGUUAUGCCUGGCUCCACUUAAUAGACAUCAAACUUGUUCUCAAUAAAAUUGUAUCAAUUAAAAAAAAAAAAAAGUAACUGAUUUAGGAUGACCAACCCAAAUGUUGAGAGCAGAGGUUAGAAGAAUUUUGGUAACUGAGGACUUGGCCAUUUGAGUGGGGAAAAGGUAAGGAUUAUGAGUUUUAUGACUAAUGGUUAGGUAGGCAAUAUAUGGAAGAAACCUAUAGGGUGGUAAAGAUUGUGAAAGUAAGAAUUACGACGGUGGAUUUUGGUAUCUAAAACAAAGAGUUUGUUCGUAAGAAGAAGAAGUGAUAAGAGUUUAAAAGUUUGGAUGGAUGUAAAAAAUCAUGGGGAUGAAAAAUAUCAAGACAUUGACUAAACAAUAAAACUCGUAAUUUUUGUAGUAUACAAGUAUAUUCUCGAUUUUUUUUAAAAAAAUUAAUGAUUAUUCAUAUUGAGGAAAGUUAGAUGAGGGUAAUUUUGGGCAUUUUUAUACUUUUUUGUCUUACAUCAUCAAGGUGAAACCCAACCUACAUUCUAGUGGAGAUAUGUGUAAUUUUCAAAACAUGAGGGGAGCUGUCUGAAAUUACUAAAAAUCUCAAGGGAGGUUUCUGAAAUUAUCCCAACCAAUUAAAUGGGUUUAAUUAGGUAUUCACUUAGACUCUUUAAUGUCAAUGGCCGAAUUUGGACCGGUUAUUAGUGAACAGAUUUGAAUGGAUCAAUAUGAUUAGGUUGUGAUUGACACCUCUAGUUAACAUAUGUAUAUGAUAUUAUGAUUUAUGAAUAUCUAUUUAUUGGACAAAUUGCAUAUAAUAUUGGACUUGAAGUUAUGUGGUUUUUUCUCCCUCUAUUUUAAAAGUAGGCAGGCUCACAUGUAAAAUUUAAAAGUUGUUUUUUUAGGUCCACUAUUAAAAUUUUUAAAUUAUCAUUUACGUCCUGAAUAAUAACACUUUCGCAAAAAAAAGAACUUUUAAAAUGUGAUUUUAUAACACCAAAUAGAUGAAUCCAAUUCAUAAAAAGGAUACUAGAAGGAAUGAGGGGUUGUUCGGAUCUAUGCUUUGAUGAAUGACCAAUAGCUGCCGGCUGCUGGUGAUAGAUGAAAAUAAUUUUUGAAAAAACAAAAAGGGAAAAUCGCCAAUUUCGUCCCUAAACUUUUUUUUUCUGUCGAUUUAAUCCCGAUACAUUAUUUAUAGCCAAUUUAAUCCCUAAACUUAUAUUUCGCUUCCAAUCAAGGAGCUUAGCGGCGGAGCCACCACAUAAUUUUCUUCAAGCUCCCAAUUGAGCAACCCAGAAGGGGUAUUUUUGGAAUUUCAAUGGUGGGCCCGUAACAAAAAUUAAAGUUCUUGUCUUUUCAACGCACCACGCUUGAGAUCUCAACCAUUUGCAGAUAUUGUAUGCUACUAUUCCUAUAUUAUAGUACGUCUUUUUCUUCGGUAAUUUUUUUUUCAAACAAAAAAAAAUCUUUUAUUUGUUCUCUCCUUCUCGACUAAGGUUUUUUUUUUUCUGUUUUGGAGGAGGAAAUUUGGCUGCAAUCCUGCAUCCGUUUAAGGGUGUUUAAAUUUUGUCCAAUAUUCAUGAUGCAGGUGCACGGAGAAGGAGGCGCCUCUGGAGGAGUCACUAGAAUUGAGUCGGUCAGGAUUGAGGAUACAUACUGCAUAAAUUCCACAUCCUUCUUAAGUCCAGCCAUAGUCUCUGGUGCUAAAACAACUUCCAGAUCGACGCUCCCAUUUCCUUCACGCCUUGGGAAUGCCGAGAUCUUGCCGUCAAAUUUAUUGGUCCUACCGCUUCGCACUGCAAUGGGUUGUCCCCACCCAAAAUCAUUAUCAUACAUUGGAAACCUUGGGGAGCUUCCCAUGGUGAUCAUCGCGCCGUCAAAGUUCCCCAGCGGAAACAGCCUUGGAUUACUCUCCCAUUCCUCGACACCCCGUCGCACCGUGGAAUCGUCAUGCGCCAACACAUUUCGAUGCAGCCGAUCCGCACCCCAGGACGGGUCGUUGCCCAGCAGCUCCUCCACUCAAGCCACGGUUGGGAUGCUCUGGAUCAAGUUACCGAAGUAGACCGGGUCCACCCACGGCUCCAGCCGGUGUCUACAGUUCCAUGGUAGCUGACCUCCUGCUUCAUCUUGAACGACCACACACGGGGGAUGGAGAAAAUCCAGUAGAAAACGCAAGGCGUUGACCUUUCCGACGGCCGAGACUGUGGCCCAAGUGAAGAUGGAGGAAGCCAUGAUGGGAACGCACGCGAACAGGAGGUGCUCCAAGGCCAGGACGAUGGUGGGAUACUCGAUUUGGAUCCACUUGAAUUGGAGGGAGACCAAGACCCCUAUCAAGAAAUUGGUAAGGGCGCAGGCGAAGGAGGCGAGGAGACCGAGGGAGACGGAAUUGAAGGUGGAGAGCAGGAGGGAGGAGCUGAAGAAGAAGGCGAUCUGAGCAGCGAUGAGGGAGAACCAGACGGCGAAGAAAGAGCCAGGCUUGAAGGCCGCCACCCCUCUUCUAUGAGAGCUGAGCAAGAAAUUCUUUUGUUUUCAUUUUGGGUUUUGAGUGGGUAUUUCUUAUGCAACUUUUGUUUCGGUUAAUUUUGGUUAAUGGCUCCGAAAUGGAAGUUCCUAAAAUACCCCUUCUGGGUUGCUCAAUUGGGAGCUUGAAGGAAAUUGUGCGGUGGCUCCGCCGCUAAGCUCCUUGAUUGGAAGCGAAAUAUAAGUUUAGGGAUUAAAUUGGCUAUAAAUAAUGUAUCGGGACUAAAUCGACAGAAAAAAAAAAUUUAGGGACGAAAUUGGCGAUUUUCCCAAACAAAAAACAAAAACACUUUUUUUUUUUUAGAAGGUCGAAAACCUCUAGUUCCUAAUAGGGUGGGAGCUAACCAACAACUCUUUGGGCGGUUGGCCACCACUAAAGAUUUCAGAUCUUAGUGGAAUACGAGGUCAAGAUUCAAAUCUUACCUCCAUCAUUGUACCACUGUAUGUAACUUCUCCAAAAUUCAUACAUGUGCGUAAUGCACCAGUCUGGUCCAAUAGUGAUUCAGUCACAGUCAAUUUUCUAAUUGGUCCAGUUGAACCUCCCCUUUCCCUAGAAUAGGCUAAAAUAGGAGUUGAAGUAGGAGUAUAAUAGAUAUUGUUGAUUAACAACAACAACAACAAUAAUAAUAAUAGCAAGGUGUGAGCUAAUCGACAUAUCCAAUCCAUGUUGUGGACUACAAAGCCUGGUAAACCUACAUUUACAAGACUGUCAUAAUGGUUGAAAUUGACCCGUUGAAAAAACUGGGUGAACAAAGUAUUUGGAAAACAAAUUUCUAAUACUCCUCUCCAUCUGACCCAUUAUUAGUUUCAUGUUUUCACUUUUUUGAUAAGUCAAAAGAAGAUUUGAAAUCAAAAUAAAGUAGGAGUAUUUGUUACUCUCUGGAUUUGCCAUUUGAAAAGUAUCUUUUCUAAAUUGCAAAUGCACAUUUAUGAAAUCAAAUAUUUUAAAUUUGAAGGCUACUUGGUUUAAAUUCAUCUAAUGUUAUUUAUUCAUGCAUAUUGAUUACAUGUUUGCAUGAACAAGUUGAAUUCUCGAAAAAAUGACUCAAUAUUAGGAUAAAUAUCUUUGUGAUAAACUGUGCACUUUUUACAUAUCAAUGUAUAUUGACAUUGACAUAUUGACAAAUUCCAUACCUUCUUGCAUUUGAAGUUAUAUGGUGUUGGUUUUUUUUCCCCAUAUGAUACCUUAAAAGCACACGAAAAGUUAAAAGGUAGGUACACUAUUAAAUUUUAAAAUUACUGUCCAAGUCCUAAGUUGCAACCCUUUUCACUUGCUUUUAAAAAAAAAUUAAAAAACAAUCUGUCGUCUAUCAGGUACACGACGACUACUCUUUACUCUUUGUUCAUGGCUUAAAGCCCUUGUUAGUAAUUGUAUAAACUCUAUUGAUUCCAUCGAAAUAAAAUCUCUAUUGAAGUCAUUUUACCUUUUUCUUUUGAAAAUAAAAACUAAGUAUUGCUUUUUGGAUUAUAGGAUUGAUUUUUGGAGCAUGCAUAUUGAACAACAAUGCUUGAAUUUUCAAUGAAAAGAAAAAAAAGCGAAGUAAAGCUAACAUAGAUCACUAAUUAUAAAUUAUCAUUCUCUUUUUCCCUUGCACUUGAAAAUGAAAGAAACUAUUUUCGUGAUAAUAAAAAUUUCUGUUCGACUUUAAUUUUUUCCUUUCUUUUUUUUUGGCCCCUUAUAUGCUCUUUUUCUCUCGAAAAUUCCAAGAAAGUCUUUCCUUAUGGAAAGCGAAAAUCUUUUAAAUUAAAAAAAAGGUCUAGGUGUAUGUCCCUUUCUUAGUGGACAAUGCCGACGCUGGUGCUUCUUAGCUGCAAAAUGAGAGGGAAAUAAUUCAUUCAAAAACCAUAAAGUAAUGAAUAAAAAAAAUUCUUUGCUUUUCCAAACCGAGAUGCGACUUGCUCGUGAUUCCAACAUUAAUUGUCACUGCUACGUUGUUAUUUGUUAACCUUUUCUUUCUUGCUCCGUUUGUUUGUUGAAUAAUUGAAUAUUCCACAAGAGAAAUACUUGCUAGUUCUGGAGAAUGCGACAUUUGUUAAUAUUUCUCCUUGUGCUACACUAAAAAUUUGAGAGUGAAAUUGAGGAAGUGCCUUGCAUUAUAAGAGAUGGAGAUGACCUCCACUUGCAUAGAUCUGAUCUAAUUGAGCUCAUAUGUAAGUAGGUAUUAAUUAUAAUAUUUUCCUUGAAGGAAUUUAAAAUAGAUGAUCAGUGUUAAUGUUAAAAAGAAUGUCUACAUAUCAUGAAGUUUAGGAGUGUUUUCUUAAUCAAACUACUUGAUUUGAUACUUUGAUCUAACUGCUUGAGCUCAGUCAACCAAUAUUGAAGCAGUUUCGUUGCUAAAAAGCUGGCUUGCAAGAUUCGUUUGUAGUCCUAUCUAAGAGAUAAAUAUAGCACUAUAAAAGUCUUAUCAACUCAUUAGCUGUCUAUAAUAUUAUUAAAUUUAACCACAAGAGAAUAUGAAAAUGUUCUUGUGACAUAUAUCAAUUAGCCCAAAAUUGUUCAGGUCCCCGAAAACCUGAAUAUAGUUGCUCACAUAUAAAAAAUGGAGCAGGUUAGAAUCACAAGGCUAGAGAUCGGUUACACAUUGUGAAUGAAAUCUUCUCCCGUCUAAAACAUUGCCCCUUAAAGGCUAAAGCUUCAAUUAAGGAAUAGGAAAAGGGACCGUCCAGUGGCCAUUCUUGACCAGAACACUAUCCGGUCUCCUUCUUUUUUCUUUUUUUUUUUUGUCGAAACGGUAGAAUUUCUAUAACCUAAUCUAUCCUAAUUUAGGGGAAAGGGGAGGGGGAUUCGAUGUGAGUAGAGACUCCAUCGAAAAAAACUAAUUAAAGCUGCCACCUAAAGUGGCAAUUUGGUGGGAGGCAAGGAUUGAACCCCUGACCUCCCACCCCACCAAGAGUGGUGGUGGCCAGUGGUGGCCACUGAGCUAGAGCUCUGUGGUUGUAUCCGGUCUCAUUCAAUCUAUCGAAUUCUGCACAUGGACCCGCCGAAUGUGGAAGAAAGACUAAUAUUAAGAGUUGAAUUGAUUUCUAAUAGAGCUGGGUUUGUUUGAAUAGAGUGUUAUUUAAAAUAUUAUUUGGAAUAAUUAAUGUAGCAUUUUUUACGAUGUGAUGUAUGUGAGAUGAAAAGGUGGUUGAAAAUAUAAAAAGAUGAGUUGAAAAUAUGUUUGUAAUGGAAGUGAAAUAUUAUUUAAAAAAAUUUGGUAUCCAAACAAAAGCAGUAUUAGCGUGCAUUUAAGUUCUGACUCUUGAGACUAUGACACAAGAUGCAUUUGAUAAAAUUGAAAUUGAAAUUUUAAAAUUAUUAAAUUAUUAAGUAUUAAAUCUAAUACAUUUGAAUGUAUGUCAUAUUAAGUGAUAAGUGAUUAUUAAGUAUUAAAUCUAAUACAUUUGAAUGUAUGUCAUAUUAAGUGAUAAGUGAAUAACUUAUCACUUAUUUUCUAGUAUAUAUUUUGCCAAAAAAAAUAUAGUACUGCUUAAUUAAUUCAAAUGUUUAAUUUUUUAUUAUUAAAUAUGUUUAAACAUGUUAAAAUCUGAAUCUAUUAAAUUUAAGUAUUGAAUUGAAUUGAAUUAUCAAAUAGGACCUAAUUCUCAGUCAACUCGUGGAAGUUUUCUACGUAAAUAAGAAGAAUUGAUAUCAAACAUUUAAAAAUAUGAGUAUGCCUUAGCCAUGAACCCUGUGUUAAAAAGCAAGGAAAGGGAGGGUUCUCUGGUCGUGUUUGACCCGAAGAGCAGCCAGUCCCCUUCUCUCUAAUUUUCCAAAUGGACACCCUCAAUGUUGAAGAAAUACUAAUGAGAAGACUUUCAAUUAAUUUCCAAUGGCCCAAGUAACACUAAAAUGGGCAUAUACUUGCGUCUAGAUAGGAGAUUAUCUCGGAUGAUUUUUUUAAAAAAUAUUUUCUCAAUUUUUUUGAUAUAAUAUAUAUGAGAUAAAAAGAUAAUUGAAAAAUAUAUCUAUGAUACAUAGAUAAAUUAGUAUAAAUAAUUAGUAUGGAUUUAUGUCCUGACUCUUGAAAAAAGUACUGCUGCUAAUUAGUAGAAUUUUUUACUUCUUUAAUUUAAUCAUUUUCUUUGACCAUUGUAUAUUGGUAACAUUAAUGCACUCAUUAAUUUUGAACGUUAUCAUUUUACUCUUUAUGUUUAUUAUCUUAGUGUUUAUAUUUAUUAUGAUUAGGAUUGUCACCGGAGCCAAGCCACCCGAGCUUGGCUCGUUCUGCCCAAAAAAAAUCCGAUGAGCCCAACCUUUCACUAAGCCGAUAUGAUUUUGAGUCUAAAAAUUAUGUCCGAAUUAAAUAUGAGUCGAGUUUGGACCUCAUUAAGUUCAAACUCUAUAUAGGCCCAACCCUUAAAUUAGCUAUAUAUAUAAGGAUAUGUAUGUAAUCUAAUUAUACAUUCGAAUAUAUUAUUACUAAAUAUUAAAUAUAUACAAAUUUCAAAACACAAAAAUACAUUUGAAGACUUAUCUACUAACUUUCUUGAGAGCCAAUAUUGAUAUUGCAUAAUUGAAAUUCUAACUUUUCUUAUUGGUUGAGCAAAUUUUUUGGUUGAUUUCUUUUUGGUCUAGAAAUAUAAAUCAUCAAGCAUGUUUGGAUUCAAGUCACAAAGGUAUGACGAAGUUUCAACUUUUGAAAAUGUAUUGGCUUAUGACCGCAUGUUUUAUUACUAUUUUUCAUGUAUUUUGAACGAAUUAGAUAUAAAUAUUGUUAAAAAAUUCUUGAUUUAUGUGCUUUUUAAGAACUAUUACUUGUUCAUGUUUAGUUUUAAUGUGGUAAUCUUGUCAAUAUUAAAUUAGCUUUACAACUCAAUAGUUAUAGUAAUUAUAUAAGAAAAUUGAGGAGCAAUAACUGAGCUUGAAAUACGCCUGAAUAAGGCUCAAAACCGAAAUAUGUUGUGAAUUGAGUAUGAUCAUCACAUUUAUUAACCUGAACCUCAUGACCCGAAGUUUGAAAGUGUUACAAAUUAAAUGAGUUGAAUCUGAACUUAUAAGAGUCCGACUCAUAUGUCCCGAUUGACAGGUCUAACUGUGAUGAUACGUAUAUUUUAUAAUACAAUUGAUGCUAGUAAUUGUAGAAAUCUCAAAUUCUCUACUUCCAAAAUUUCAAGGGUUAAAGCCCUCAAAUUUUUUUCCUUCAAUUCUUUACUUUGUCAGUCCCGGUUAUUAAUCUCCCAGAUCAAUGGUCAUGAUUAUUAAUAGAAGGGAAUUAGAAGAGAAAGUGGUCAAAUUUUUAGUGGUUUGCUCAAGAAAGAAAACAAUUGAAGAAAAUUGGAGAGCUAGCUUGAAGAUUCAUGCUAAAAGAAAAAUAUGAAAAGAUAAACCAAAUAAAUCUAUAUUUAUAUACAUUUUUCCAUAGACAGAAGAAACACACGCACACUUAAUUUAACACGAACGCAGAGGUAACACCGAACACACCGGCCCAAACGAGCAAUCUAAGGUGGGACCCACGAGAAACAUCCAUCCAACCAAUUGGUGACAGGAGGAUACUCCCAUGGACCUUAAACCCAGGAUGAAGACCCCACGAUCUUUCGAUGUGGGAUAGAAAUCUCCCAUCCCCCCCACGCGAGCCUCACCAGUAAUGGUUUGUUUUUUCCUAUGCCUGCACCAAUAGUGUGUGAACCCAUACUAUUUUGAAAGAAUUAGCCACUUUAGAGUGCAAAACGGUGGAAUUAACAACUUUGUUUUGGCUGUUCGGGUAAUAUAGAAAAUAGGGAAUGUCUGUUCAAGCUUUCAAGGCCUGGCUCAGUUGUAAUUAUUUUCAUUCAACUGAAAGAAUCCAUUAAACUAAAACCUCUAAUGCCAUUUUACUUUUUCCAUAGUAACGAAAAUGAAAAUUGUUAUUUCAUAGAAUUUAUGUAUGUAAUAAUAGGAUGUGACUUUAUGGAGUAACAAUGCUUAAAUUUUUCAAAGACUCAGUAAAUUUACAAUGAUUAAAGUAAAACAAGUGUAGGUGCAGUAAAUCAAGUUAAAUUUUUACGCUUUUGCAGUAUGGGUGCAGGGACCCUUUGCCAAUGGAGUGGUCCUUCUCAACUCCAAUAUGAGGAGUAUGAAAUAGUCCAAAAAUAAUAAACUUGUCAAUGAAAACUUCUUCACUCUACUAAACACAAGAUGACUUUAUGAUAAUCCAACAUUUUCUCUUUUACCUUGCUGUUCUUUUGUUUCUUACUCUGUUUGAAUGCGUACAAAAUUUUGAUCAACUCCAAUUAAUGUGCUUGUAAUGACUAGGGAAACUAAGACAGACUCAUAUUUGUAAUACAAACCAAAAACAGAAAAUGUUUCAAGAAUGCAUUUCGCUGUAAUCCUGAGAGAUUGCCACAUCAAAUUUCCCUAAUAAAAUGUUGAUAACACAGUCAACUAAUUUUUUUCAAUUUCCUCCAUUUGUAAUUAGUUCAAGAUAAAUUUGGAUUUUGGGUGCCUAGCUCCAACUCCACCUAGUUGAAUAAUUGAUGAUCAUUGCCUGGGGUCCACCUUGAUGCCAAUUCCACCUAGUUGAAUAGUUGAUUAUCUCAAUACUCUUCUUCACCUUCUCACCAGAAACAAAUAAGUAAUUUUCAGGAAAGAAAUACUUUGCCAGCUCUGCAGUUAGUGAGAUUUGUUUCUCUCUUAAAAUUUGAGAGUGAAAUUGACGAAAAUCCCUGCAUAAGAGAUGGAGAUGGCCUCCACUUGCAGCAUCGAUCGGAUCUUACUUGAUCUAGAGUCGCUCCUGAACAGCUUCCAAGACCGGUAUGUUCCUGACGGUGUUCUUGGUGCAAUCGAACGCAUGAAAUUUCUCAAAACAUUUGUUAUGUGUGCAAGAAAGUGGAGCCAAAGCAAUGAUCUGUACUUGGAAUCUGACAAUGUUGUGAAGAAGGUGAGUCUUCCAUCUUUCUUAUCUUGCAUCGAAGAUACCUUUCACAAAUAUGAGGAGGAUAUUCACUCUCUUUCCCAUACAUCAGAAACGGACGAAUAUGGAAUGUUCUUGGAAAUUGAGGAACAGAUCAAAUUACUUAAGCAAGAAAUCAUCCAAAUUUACUUUGCUUUGGCAAGCAGCAGGUCAUUGCAAUCAAAUUCUUGUAUGACAGAUGAUGAACUGUUGGAAUUCAUAGACCUCAUCCAACAAAAUCUAGCAGAUUUGACAAAUGGCUAUAUGCAUCCGCAAAUUAGUGAAUCGUUUGUUUCUGCUAUUUUGAGUGCUCAAGUCCAAGCCCUUGAAGCAAAGCUAACAAUCUUGAAAAGCGUCAUUCCCUUUGUCAAAUUGCGAGGAACUGCAGAUAUUCCUACCUCGCUAUUGGCUCACUUUGAAGUGGUGGCUUUGAACGCAGCACGCCUCUCUUACAUGUGUUCUUUUUGGGAAGAUGAGGAUCUGCACAAUCUUGAGUUGUGCUGCAUGAUAUAUGAGCAACAACAGAAAAUCACACCUAUAGAUUUUCAAGUCUAUGAGAUUUUUAUGGAAGUUCUUAGAGCUACAAGAUCCUCCAAAUCAUUGCAUGAUAGAAUGAUGGAUAAGCAGAUAUUAAACAACUUCAAUGAUUCUCUCAUAAGUUGUCUCUGGGAGCUGUUAUGCUGCAGCUCUAGCUUUAUGGAUGCUAUGAAAGAUGAAAUGCGAAUACUCUAUGCAGGACUGAGGUUUUUGAGAAGCAUUUUAAGGGAGCAGCAGAAGAAGAUGGAUGAGCAAAACAAAAAAAUUGGUUCUCUUCUUAGUGAGGCAGGCAUUAUAAUUUACUCGCAUUCUCUAAACAGAGUGAAGGAGGGAGAAGUCAGCUUCUCAGAAUCCACAGAGGCUCUUGACUGUUAUGAUGUGCUGGCUAAUACCAACAUCCAUAUCAAGCAUUUUAAGGAUCAGAUCAGUGGCUCAAGCAUUAUUGAAAGUAUUCCUUCCUUUCAUAGCUUAAAAGCACCAGAAGUUAGCAAGACUUCCCACCGCAUGCUAUCAAAAGGUCAAAUGCCAAUAGCCCAUGAAGUCAUGGUUGGUCUUGAUGAUGAUGCAGCAAAAGUAAUUGAACGACUUAUAUGGGGAGGGGAUCAGGUGGAAAUUGUUCCCAUUGUGGGAAUGGCUGGGCUUGGUAAGACGACUUUAGCCAAAAAAGUUUACAAUGAUAGUUCAGUAAUCUGUAACUUCCACAUUCGUCUUUGGUGUACUGUUUCUCAAGCCUAUAACAUGAAAAAUGUGUUACUUCAAAUUUUGUGCUCUGAUGGCAAACAUUCCAGGAAGGAUGAUGAGUUAAAAAAUCUGGAUGAACAUGCGUUGCUGGAAAAGCUCUACAAAAAGCUAAAGGAGAAUCGGUAUCUUGUUGUUUUUGAUGAUGUCUGGGACAUUAAGGUAUGGAAUGAGCUGGGAAUUUCAUUGCCGGAUGAUAAGAAAGGAAGUAGAAUCAUCUUCACGAGUCGAUCUUCUAAUGUGGCUUCACAGGUUGAAUAUGGGGGGAAACCUCACUAUCUUCACCCGCUUAGUGAGAAAGAAAGUUUUGAAUUACUGCAGAAGAAGGUAUUUGGAGAAGAAGAUUGUCCUCAAGCAUUGCAUGGAUUGGGAAUGGAGAUUGCCAAAAAGUGCAGGGGAUUGCCACUUGCACUUGUUGUUGUAGCUGGAGUCCUAGCAACUAUAGAGCAUGAUAUUUGUGUUUGGGAAGGAUUUGCUGAAAGUUUCACUUCAACCACAGUGGCUGAUGCAGAACAAUGCAAAAAGUCGAUGGAGCUCAGUUAUGAGCAUUUACCAUAUCACUUGAAGGCAUGCUUGCUGUAUUUUGCUGCAUUUCGAGAGGAUGAAAAAAUUGGUGCCAAGGAGUUGAUGUGUCUCUGGGUUGCAGAAGGGUUUGUGGAAAUAAUUGAAGGAAAGAGAUCAGAGGAUAUUGCAGAAGAAUAUCUGAUGGACCUGAUUGGCCGAAACUUAGUUAUGGUAAGUGAAAACAGAUCCAUUGGUGGAGUCAAAACUUGUUACGUUCACGAUUUGAUAUUUGAGUUCUGUAAGGGCGAGGCGAAAGAAAAGAAAUUUCUUCAGGUCUUGCGAGGAUAUGAUGAGCUUUCUAUCUUUAAUCAGCCUCCCAACCUACCUCGGUUGUCCAUUUGCUCCAAUGGAGAGGAUUUUAUAAAGUCAAAGCUCUUUUGUCCACAUUUAGAUACUCUGCUAUUCCAUGAUGCUACUCUAGGAGAUAAGUUUGAGUUGCGUGACAUCUCCUUCCUUUUUUGCAUCUACAAACAUCUUAAAGUUUUGAAUUUAGAGGGCAUUAUCCUAAGGCUGAAGGAGCUUCCAGCUGAAGUCGAAUCACUUCUUUGUUUGAGGUACUUAGCCCUUAGAGCUCUGUUCAUGGAAUUCAUUCCACCAUCUAUAGCCAAGCUCUCACAUUUGGAAACCUUCAGUCUAAAUUCUUUUGAGGCGGUUUCAUUGCCAGAUAGCAUCUGGAACAUGGAGAAGUUGAGGCAUGUACAUGUAAGGCCUGGCGUCGUUAUUCCUCUCUCCUCCGAUGACAGCGGUGUUGAAAACCUCUCUAAUUUAGAGACACUCUCUGCUCUGUUUCUUUAUCUUGACGAAGAGGGAGAGAACUUGUUGAGAAGGAUUCCCAACGUUCGCCGACUUAAAAUUUUCGAUUUGGGGGAACAAAACAGAGUAUGCUGCAACAUGAGUCGACUAGCAUGCCUAGAAUCACUCGCCUGGUUGGGCAGUUACUCCUCAGGUUCAUGGGAGCAUGUUGAGCUUUCUUUUCCCAUGAAUUUGAAGAAGUUGAGCCUUAGCGGUCUGGCUCUUCCCUGUAGAAAAAUGUCAUUGAUGGAACAACUACCCAAUCUUGAAGUCCUCAAAUUACGAGCCCAGUCGACGGAGGGCCAAAAAUGGGAGCUGAUGGAAGGAGGAUUCCCUAAACUCAGGGUCUUGACUUUGGAAUAUGUACAGAUUGUCGAGUGGAUAGAGACAGACCCUGACAGUGAUGAUUACUUCCCGUGCCUUCAGCAAUUAAAACUCCGGAGCAUUUCUAAAUUGGAAAUGAUGCCUUCUUGUUUAGGGCGUAUAUCUACUCUUGAGACCAUUAAAAUGAAUGAGUGUGGAGAUGGCGUCAAAUCUUUAGUAAGGGAAAUUGAAGAAGCACAGGAAUAUAACGGAAAUGAGAAUCUGAAGAUCAUCAUCAUAGAUUGAAGGGCAUCAGCUGGUGCAAUAUCUGGUAAUUUUUUUUUGUCGUUACCAUUAAUUGGCUUGUAGAAAUAAUCAUGCUUUUUUUCAUUUAAGGGAGUUUAAUUUAUAUUGACAUUUUGGUAGCUUUUUUGUACUACUUCAGUUGCCUGUAGUGCGUGCUCGAGCACAUUGAAAUUGAUGAACAAACAACUAAUUAAAUGCUCCUUUUUUUUUUUUUUUUUUGCUUUUUGUUAAUGAAAUUGAUGAACAAACAACUAAUUAUUGCUCUAUUUUUUCUUGAUGAUAUAUCAUCAGGGAGUGUGAUUGUCAUCUGUGUGGUCUGGCUUUCUUUGGUGCUUUUGUGGAAGAUUGAGGUGAAAAUUGAAAGGAUCGAUGGCUCUUUUCUUGUCAAAAUAUGGUGGAAACGACCAAUGAGGUUUGUACGACCAAUGUGUAAUUUCGUUUUGCUGCAUUUAGUGAUGGUUGUGUACUAUUUCUUUUCAAACAUGUGACAAUUUGCUGUUGGUGUAUUUUGUUAUCUUUUUUUUCCUAUUUGAGGUUCAAACUUCAUCAUUUUGACAAAAUUGAUUAACAAUUUAUGUUUGAGAUCAAUCAUUCUUGGAAGAAUAUGACAGCCCAACAGACUUGUGGUCUAGAAAUUCAUGUCGAAAGGAAACCUAUAUGAUCAUCUCUUUUCUGCUCAAUAUAUGCUCAAUCUUAGGUUUGGAUUUAGGAUAUCCAACUUUGAGAUUUGCUAAAUUUUCAGAAUCAUAUUUUACUUCUUCAAAUUGGAGAAUUUUUGCAAAGAAUGAAGUAUGAGACUUAAUAAGUUCCUUUAAGAAGGAUGUCUGCAACUUGGUUUUUCUGCUGCUUGAGCUAGUUGCUGGAAAGGGCAUUAGUAAAAUUAUUGAUUCUCCAAAGAGCUUUAAAGGUGAUUUGUUUGUAUGAAUAUUUAAUUUUCCAUUUUUGAAUUCCUACCUAGGAUAUAUAGAGCUAGGGAUAAACUAUCCAAAUUAGAGAGAAAAUGUGUAUAAAUUUUACAAUUGUAUAAUGGGCCAAUACCUUUAUUUAUGGGACAAAACGUAAGUCCUCUCAAGCUGAAAAGUAGACGCAUCCCACAUUCUGGACUCCCUCUCAGCUCAAUCCACAUGGUAUGGAUCUUAUAAGGCCCAAAUUUCAGGAAGUGUUUCGCAUCUGCAUUCAUUCUGCUUUCUAGUUUCAACUAUGAUUUGUUCUGAAUACUUGUGAUAAAUUGAUGAGAAUGGACUUCAGCUCGUAAUCUAUUUUCGCUUCUCUUUAGGGUAAAUUCCCCUUCUAUUUAUUGCGAAUCAAUGGAAAAUUUCUCUUUAUUACUACUUGAUAACACUUUGUGCUUAGUAUAUCAAGACUAUUAAUGAGUAUGUUAUAUUUUUACAGAACUUCCGAAGGUUGAGAUUAUGAUUUUUUACAGCAAAUCAUGUCACAAUUAGUCUGUUAUAGGUUAGGGAUAUUAACUGUCUUUUCAAGUCAUGCCCCCCUUUCAUCACACAUGCUGGCGAAUGCUUAGUUAACUUUAGGCAAAUGAGAAAGUAAGGGUAACAACCCACCACCAAGCCCUUAAGGCUUUGGUGGGAAACCUUGCCUCUCACCAAAAUGCCACUCUUGUGGCUCUACUUCAAAUCCAGACGGGUGCAUAUUGCAUCCGUCUGGUCCGGUGGUAGUUCUAUCCCCAUCGAUUUCCCGUAGGUUCAGUUGAGCUUCCCUCUAAUUAGAGUAGGAGUAGGAGUAGGAAAUCCAGACGGGUGCAUAGGGUCCGGUGGUGGUUCUAUCCCCAUCGGUCUCCCGUAGGCUCCUCUCUAGUGAGUUCUUUCUUCAUUUCGUAUAAUGCAUAUUUAGAUGUAUGAAACACGUCUUCAAUUACUAAGAAGGGACAAGGUCAAUUUAAAUUUAACUAAUCCUAACUCUUGUUUAUAAAUGAAGAUACGUGUCAUACAUCUAGAUGGGUACUGCAGAAAAUGGAGAGAGAAUCAACUAGAGAUGAGCCAAAUCCCACUUUAGAUUAGUUUUCAAUUUUGGCGCUUGUUUUAUUCUGUGGAUCUUUACAAUACAAAAUAUGAUUACUCUUGGUCUGUGAGGGUAUUACUAUUAUUUAGAGUGAAAUUGCCCUGACAAGAACAUAAUUGUUUUGGCAAUAUAGCUAACCCUUUUCUAUAAUUUGCAACUAAGACGUACUAUCGAUAAGGUUUUGUUAAACAAAUGAUUUAUAUGUUUUUGUUGGAGGAGAAAAUUGAUAGCAAUAUGAAAUUCCAAUAAUUAAAUUUCUAUUCUUUUUAAUUAAUUUUUAAAAAAUUAUCUUAGUACGUAUCCCUAAAACAAAUUCCCACUACGUAAAUAGCACAUUAGGACCCAAUUGUAAAGGUUCAGAAGCAGUGAGCCCACCACUUUCGUAUGCCUCCAAAUACCCUUAUUAUAGUGGAUGGAUCACGGAUGGCAAUUUGAUUAGGGGUGGUAAUUUCCGACACGAUCUGAAAAUACGAUACGAACUUAACACGAAAUUAAUGGGUUUAGGUUGAGGUUUUACGGGUUCGGGUCAGAAUCGGGUUGAACCCGGUGAACCCGAAAAGAAAACGGGUCGAAUUUGGGACAAUCCGUGGGUGACCCGAUAACCCGUUUACAAAUUAAAAAUAAUUUAAUAAACAUAAAAAUUAUUUUAUCUAACUAAACUAAGUUAUUCUUUUUUUCCAAAGGCAUUAAUCACUUAAUCCUAAAUGAAUUUAUUUAACUUUUGUGAAGUUGAAAUUAUUAUGUUUGGACAAAUAAUGUAUUAUAUUAUUUUUUACUUUUAUACUGUUUUAAUUUAUUUUAUAUUUGAUUUGGGAUAAAACACUUUUAUGGUAUUUUAAUUUAUUUUAGAUUUGGUUUGGGAUUAUUUAUUUAAAUUUUUAUUAUUUGAUUAUGCAAUUAGUCUUGUGCAAAAUUGGUUUUAUUAGAAAUUACAGUGGUAAAUUAGUAAAUUGAAAUUAAGUUUCGGGUCAUUCGCGUCGACCUACCAAUCCGAAAUUUUCGGGUUCGGAUUAGGUAUCCUGACCCGUUUCGAGUUGACAGGUCAAGUUCGGAUCAGUGGAUUUUCUGUUAUACCCGGAUCUUAACCCGACCGGCACAACCUGAUUUGGAUCCGAUUGCCACCCCUACACGGUGGGUUCUAAGAUAGGAACCAAUUUUUAAAUGUGGCUCGCCAUGUGUCUGACAUAUGGCAGGUUCCUUUUAUAAAAAGAAAAUGGAACUAAUAAACUGGUCCACUGCAUGUCAGACAUAUGGCAGGUUCCUUUUAUAAAAAGAAAAUGGAACUAAUAAACUGGUCCACUGCAUGUCAGAAACACAAUAGGCCUAGCUAGAAAAAUGGAACUAAACUUUUCAAAAAUAUUUUUUGAACUUCUUUUUGGCAAUAUUUCAACAAAUUUGCCCUAGGUUUGGUGUUGAUUAGGUCCAGGUUGAUUAAUAACCUUGACUAAAAUAUGUGAACAAUUAAUAUUCAAGAAAAUAUUCUACACAAAGAAAUUGAAAACUAGUACAUUUUAUUUUUUUCCCUCAUAUAUAUCAUGCAUUUUUCAUAUUUGAUUCACAUAAAGUAAUGGCAUUACUUGCGAUCCAAACCAAUUUAAAGUAGUGACGGCUAGUUGAGAUCAAAUACAAUUGUGUGAUUAGAAUUUUGUUUCGAAUAUUAAUAUGUUGUAUAACCAACUAGAAAAAUUCUGUAGCCAUCUUAGAGUGUCAUUCCUUCAAUGUGCUUCUUCCAAUGAUGAUAGUAACUGGUAAUUUAAAUUACUGGAAUUGUAAUGACCUAAAUAUUAAAAAUAAUAUUUCACCAUCCAACUAUGAAUUUAAAUAACAUUUGACCAAAAAGGGGUUAUAAAAUCUGACAACUAUUUAUCCUACUAAUUCUACAGAACAAUUGGUCACCGCCAAAUUCUGAACUAGAUUUGUGUUUUUUGUGACUUUUAUAUCUUUCUGUUUUCAUCUUUUUUCUUUCUCUAAAUGGGAUGAAUUAGAUGUAUGAGUAAUAUUCAAAAACAUGAUAGGAAUACUGCUAUUAAUGGCAGAGUCUACUGGUUUCAGUUGAUUUUUGUAUUGCAAAAUAUCUUAAAAGAGUUAUUGACAAUUGAAAAGUGGACAAUAAAACGGCGAAGAGUAAUUUACAUUUAAGUUUUUUUUUUUUUAUAAAAAACAGAUUUCAUUAACGAAUUGCUAAAAAUCGGUCAGCAUGAUUUGAUUUACAUAGCUACCUUAAUGGCAAAUUUAAUAUGCACUAAAACUUGCAUAUUUGUAAUUUAACAAAUGCAAUAUAUCUGAAAAAUUAUGAAAAGAUAUGAAAAAUACAAGAAAUUUUAAAAUUGUCGCCCUUUCAUGCAUAUUGCAAUAGUCAGAUUUGCUAAUAAACGGUUUUAAACUCCAAUAAUGAUGAUAAGAUCUAUUGAAAUAGAUCCCAAAUCCAAAAAAUUUUUAGAUCUGAUAACCAGAAUUGAAAUAAAUUCAAAUCCAACAUCAAAAUAAAGAAACAAUUCACAAAAAUCUCCAUAGGAGUUUGUUUCAAAUGGAUGGAUGAUGUAAUGUUCAAAUUGGAAUUGGAUGACGUAAGUGCAAAGGUGAGCCGUUUCCUUUUUUGUUUUUUGGGAAUACAUUCGAUGUUUGAUUUUCAUUUAAGGCGGAAGAUGACAACACAAUUUUAAACUGAAUUUGACCAUUUGCUUGUAUGUAAAGUUUUAACUUUUUAACUUAGCGAGGAGUGCUUAAAAUUUACCAAAUAUCAGUUGUUGUCGGUCCUUUAAUUUAAUUUAAGGAAUAAUUUCAUAAAUCUCCCCUGAAGUUUUUUGUCAGCAUUACAAGCCUCCCCUGAAGUUCUAGAAAUAUCACAUGCUUUAGACCUUUUCUUUCUGUAGCCUUGGGGUUGCUUUUGAUGUAAACGUUCCGAGCAUAAAAUGUUUACUCAUAAUGCUUGUGUUUAGGGUUAAUUACAUUUACCUCCCCUAAGGUCUAGCCAAACUACCAGUCAAACCUUGAGGUUAAAUCAAAUAACAGUCUAAUCCCUUGACUAAGCAAACGUUUAUCAAAAACUUCCUUGCUGUCCUAAGACGUUAUUCAAGGUAUGAUGUCAGCAACAAAACUAUUAUGAGAGGCCAAAAAUGCCCUUAUAAUAACAAAACUAUUACGCAUGUGUCAUCACUAAUUUCUUUGACUUUUUCCUGAAGUAAUAAUAACAUUUUUUUUCUUUUCUUUGUUUCCUAAAAUAUACUAAAAGAAAUUGACUGCCCAAAAACCACAAAAGAAAAAGAAAAGAGUUGCAAAUUUUUAUGAAAAGUCAAUUUCACUAGUUGUUACCCCAUAGAAGAAAGAUUCAAAAUAACAUAACAAUAAUAAAAUAUUAGGAAAAAAAAAAGAGCUUUGCAAUAACAAACAGAGGAGAAAUUAAAUGAAAAUUAUGAAAAAAGAAAAGAAAAGGAGAGUAUACCAAAAUAAAAAAAAAUGAAAGUGCUUUCGAGUUGAGAGCUUCACCUUGCAAUGGGUUUAGAUUUAAAUAGCCUUUUAAUUUAAUGGCUAAAGUUGAAGUUAGGAUUGUCAAUUGGGAUAACAUAUUAAUUUGCCAGCAACCUUCGCUGGAAAGACUUCUUCAUAACCAAUAAGUGUGUACAGGGUUCAAUUGGGAUAAUACCAUGUGUUAACUUUCAAGCACAAAAAGGCACAUAAUUGCAUGGACGAUUUGUCACUUUUCUACUCCACUUGGUACAAAUCAAUGUUGCUAAAUGCCCCGUGCCAAUUUUCUACAUGGUAAAUAUGAGGAAUUUGCGAAUCUAAAGUGAAAUGGAUUCUUUUUGUUAUUAGUGAUCUAAAAAUUUAAAAUGAAAUGGUUUUCGUCUCUUCGGCUCUUGAAUAAAGGGAUCUUGAUGUUUUCUUGUUGACUUGUUGGCUGGUUUGUGUUCUAUUUGUCAUGAAAAUAAUUUUCAUACAAAUUUUGUAGAAUGUGGUUUGAGUGGUGAUGAGAAUAGGAGAUGCAACUGUUUGGUUUUUAUUCUAAUUAUCAUGAAUAUAUUUUUCAUAAAAAUUUUGUGGAAUUUGGUUUGAGUAGUGAUGAGAAUACGAGAUACAACAAUUUAGACUUGUUUGGUGGUUUUGUGGUCACUUUUGGCCAAAAUUGAUGAUCAAAUCAUAAUUUACACAAAAUUUCAAGUUCCAGUUGCAAAUUUGACAAAGAUCCACCAUUGAAGGUUAGUGGCCGGUAGUGACAAAGAUCCACUUCGACUGCUGCUGCCAUGGUUGCCAUAUUCAAGCUUUCAGAAAGUUAGAGAUGAAGAAGAUUAAAAAAAAAGGAAGGAAUUAUGAUUUUGUUAGAGUAUAAAAUUAUAUCUGGGUGUUUGAAAAUUCGUUCCUAUUGUAAAAUACAAUACAGGCACUAGUCCAACUAAUAAUGCUUAUGGUUAUCUUGUCUUUUCACCAAUUCCAUCUAUGAUACUUAACGGAAGUUACUAAUUGGGGGGCAUUUGCUAUUUGACCAAAUUUCAAGGAUCAUUUGGUAGUUUGGCCAAACCUUAAGAGAGGUAAUUGUAAUUAACCUUGCGUUUAAUUAGCCUUGAAUUGAAUGCUGUUUGACAAUCUAUAAGUGUCAUAGCAAUAGCACAUAUAAAAUGGACCACUAUAGUAUUUAAGGAGUCCAAUAGCUAAUCUUUAAUGCAUUCAAUUGCAGAGAAAAUUAUAUUAUGCUUUUACAUGACUUCAUUACAACCACAUAAAAAAACUCCACUCUUCUUAUUACAACUUUGCAUGCCUUAACCCUCGACACAAUAGUAUGCCUCAAUAUAGUGAAAUCCACCAUCAGGCACAUAGCUGAAGGAAUUAUUUUAAGAAUUAAGAUAUUACAAUAGCGUACAAAGCACGUGAACUAUUACUAAUAGCAUUCAAAAGUAGAAUAGAUAACCUUUAAUGCAUUCAACUGCAAGCAAAAUUAUGUUCCGUUUUUACAUGACCAGAUCUUUAUUCAGUACAACCUCUCUGAAAAAACUCUAAUUGCCUUAACCCUCGAGGAGACAAUAGUAUGACGAAAUUUAUUGGAACAAACACAUAUCACUCAACUCUCAAUAUAGUGAAAUCCACCAUCAGGCACAUAGCUAGAAGAAAUUAUUGCCAUAACAAAGGUACGUCUUCAUGUGCACUUCCAGGUUGACAAAGGUGGAGUAUCAGCAGUUUUCCAAGUGCCAGCUUCAGACGCAUAUCUCUCACCCUUGAUAGCUGAAGCAAUAGAUUCGAGUUCCGCCUUAUCCUCUGCGGACAGUUUUACGGAUAAAGCUCCUAUAUUCUGAUUGAGGUUCUCAAUCUUGGUAGUGCCCGGUAUGGGGCAAACAUCUUUGCCUUGGUGAUGGACCCAGGCCAAUGCUAGCUGUGAUGGAGUACAACCCUUCCUUGAAGCAAUGGCAUUGACCUGCUCGUACAACUUCUUGUUGUGCUCCAAAUUAUCCGCUUGAAACCUUGGCAUAUUCUGCAUUGAAUGAAUGUCAAAAUUUAAGCAACUAGAAUGCCAGAAAUUCAAAAAUGGAAUAAAGCAUGUGUCAUCAACAAAUGAAGACAAUAUGAUCAUCGAUAGUAUUGUUUGAGGUGUAGAAAGUUCAGGGGAAAGAACAAUCCAGUAAGGUGGAUUGAGUACUCCAAGAAACAUCAAUUGCAGAAGGUAGAUCCUGAGAUACAUUUCCCAUUAAAGAGGAAACUCAAAAUGGAAAUCCAAUACAUUUUCAUACUAUCUAGACAGUAUUAUCAUGUGAACUUGUGACCAACCAAACUCAGUUAGAGGAUGUAUAGAAAAAGGGAAAAAAAAAAAAAAACAAUUUGAGAGGACAAUAUAUAACUUUUGUGCCUAAGACCAGACGAUGACAUUGCAAUGUAAGUCCGUUUCCCCUCAAAAUUGUAAAGAGACUAUUACUAAAAAAUGCCAUAGUUUCUUCCCUUUUUCAUGUCUAGGAUGUUCUUGCACCAUAAAAUAGAACACUCCCACUGCUCAUGAUAUUUGACAAUGCCAAAAACUAAUACAGAGCACAAAAUUUCUAUCCUGUCUGUACGAAAGGUUCAGUUUCUAACAAAGCCAAAAACUGCACUUAUUGGAAUCCAAGACUACAAGACUUGUCAGAUAGAAAAAAGCUUAUUGUGUAGCUCUGUUGGAUAGAAGUUAAUUAAAUUAGAUAGUUUUAGAAAAGAUCAACCAAAUUAUUGGACAUCAAAUAGUGCAGCAACAUAACAGAUGAAUAAGAAUAGGGAUAUUGAGCAAGAUUGCCACUGACUAUACUACAAUAGAAACUACUAAUCUUUUUGGCUAUAGUCACAUACCUUUCUGGCAUCCCCUUCAGUAAAAUUCUCAACCAGCUUUGGACCUGAAGAGAAGAAUCCUCUUCCAAGUGGACUGUAUGCAACAAUCCCUAUUCCAAGCUCUCUGAAAGAUUAUACCAAAAACUGAAUUGAGAACUUCAUAUUUCUUCUAGACCAUGUAGAAAAUGCAGCAGAAUAUAUGCACUACCUGCAAGUGGGAAUAAUCUCUUCCUCGACAUCUCUGGUCCACAAUGACCACUCCAACUGCACAGCUGUUAUUGGGUGAACAGCAUGUGCUCUUCGAAUUGUUGAAGCUGAGGCCUCAGACAGACCUAUAUACUUUAUUUUACCCUCUUCAACCAGUUUCUUGAGCUCUCCUAUCUAGAGAAUUUCAAUGGACAAGAAAAUGCAAAGCUGAUUUAUUACAUUCAAUACUUAGGCAGAUAAUCAAAAUAUUACGUGCAAAAAAGUAAAAGUUGCACUAGUUCAACGAAGUCGUGGACAAAGUAUACGUCAAACUGAAAUCGCUAAUUGAUAAAAAUGGCAAUAAGCAUCCAGUGAUACUUCUCUAUGUACAGCCCACCGGAUGACUUAGCUCUACUGGACCAUGCCAACAAAAUGCUCCUCCAAUAUGAUUACAUGACAUUGUUAACUUCGUCUAUAUAUAAUAAUGGCCGUACAUAUCAAUUAUCAGUUGUCAAUUUUCCUUGAUUUCCUUUAUACUUGCCUGUAUUUUGAGUCAUUAAACUGCAAGAAAGUUUCUGCCUAAUACUCAGGAAAAAUAAAACAAUUCUUUGCUGACUACAUUAGAAAAAGAAGACAGAAAUUGUUUCAUAAAAGCUUAAUGUAAGUAAGCUGCUGAAAUCUUUGAAUUGCUUGGAGAGGUCAAUGGGGCAGUUGCAGCUGGCUUUCACAAUUAGACAAAAAUCUGUACUCUGAACAAAAUAAGUACCAUGUUUUUAGAUAUCGACUAAAAAACUUCUAUAUGCAGUGCUUUUGGCACCAACUGAAAACGAAUGACAAGGUAUGUAAAUAGCAUAUCAUUACUCAACCGGAUAGCCUAUCUCAAAUGAAAGAGAGUGCUCAGGUCUCUUGGUUCUAAAGGAAAGCUGUACAAUGUAUAGCAUGAUAUCCAUCUGUAUAUCCCUCAGCAGGACUGCCAAGCUAAUAUAAGAUAUUUUCAUUGUUUUCACUUUUCAGGAUGCCUGGUGCUAAAUCAGCUAUACCAUACUGCAGAUUAGCCUAGACCAUAAGGUUGACUAACUUUUCUGUGCAAUUUUUGAAGAAUUGAAAUGGACAUGAAACUGAAUUAUUCGAAAUUUGGAGUUGAUCAAACUUUUGUUUCAUCAAGAAUGAGGUGGAGCUAAAAUACAAGAAAGGCAAGAUGGCGCAAACCGUGACUUCAAUGGGCACACGUGUAUCAAUGCGAUGUUGAUAAUAGAGAUCAAUGCAGUCAACAUCAAGCCGCUUCAAACUCGCUUCACAAGAAGCCCUCACAUAGGCUGGAUCACCACGCACAUCAAACUUCCCAUCCUGCAAAUUGACUGCAAAUUUUGUUGCUAGCUCCACUUUCGCUCUUAUUCCUUCCUUCAAGGCCUAGAACCAUGGUUUCAUUAUAUUAAUCAUCAAGGACAUACACAUUAUUGCAUGGUAUAGCAAGUGGAUUUGUGAUUUCAUGGAUGGCACAGUCCCUCUGGAGUUUUUCCAACACUUCAUUGUUAAGGCUAUGCCACUUCUUUAUGUAGCAAAGGAUAUGAAAAUUAUGUAAUCCUUGGAGUUUAGAAGUCUGAUACUCUUAAAGGACCCAAUCCAUUUUCUCUUUUUGUUUUAUAUUUCUUCAACUUAAAUUUACAAUCUAGCUUUUUCAUUCACAAGAUUUGGUGCACAACAUGAACGUACACAGAAUCGUGCACAUGCACAUUAAUACAAAAAUAGGGAACUGAUCAAUGUAGAUUAAUUAGUGCCCUUUUUGGAACCAUUUGGAUCAAAGGAAAGGAAAGAUAAAUAAAUAAAACAUCCUAGUGAAAAAGAAAGGAAAGGAGAGUAGAGGAAAAUAGUUCUCAUUUGUCUUAUUUGGUUUAGAUAUGGAUGGGAAAGAAAGAAAACCUAAAUAUGCUGUUUAAAGGAAUGGUUUUUCUCUCUUUUUUUUUUAACAGCAAAAGAGGAACUUUACUUAUCGAUAAAAUAUUUACAUAAGUUGCUUAGUCAAACAUUCCUAGCCUGCUGUUGCAUCCCACAAUUCAUAUCUAAAGCAGGUUUUACAAAUGGCAAGUUCUACAGCUAUGAAAUACAUGGUUACUCAAGUUUAAAUUUGGGUGCUUGAGGCAUUUUAUAAGAAAAUCAUCAACGAGAUUUUCUUUCCCUCUGUUUCCGUCUAUUUUUGUAUGGAAAUGAUGUCUGAGCAAAACACAAUCCAUCCAUUUCCUUUUCUUUCCGUUUCCUCUCCUUUCCCCACCCAAAAUCAAUCCAAACACAAUCCAUCCAUUUUCUUACCUUUCUUUUCCCUUCUAUUCCUUCAUACAAUUCUCUUUUCAUAAUCUUUAAAACUUUACCGCUCAUAAAAAGCAAAUUUUACUAUCCCUUAUCAGAGAAAUAGUAAACUUUCCAUAAAUUGAUGACAAUUUUAACUUCAAAGACGAAAAUAGUACUAUUUUACCAACUCCAUUAUGAUGUAGAAUUUUGAAGGAAAAAAUAAAAGAAAAUAAAGAGAUGGUAGAAGAGUUCUAAUCCUUCGUGUUACGUGGCUACUUCUAAUGGGAUAGAGCUAUUCAACGUAUGCGCUAGACCUACAACCUUCUCUUCUCAACUUUGUUGCACGUUUGACAAUUGACCCCACAUGGAUGCCAUUGUCGGAAUAUUGAAAAAUUACGUGUUUGGAUUGCAUUUUUCGUGAUUUUUCAUGGAAAAAUUACUGUAGCGAUUUGAUAAAUGUGAGGGAAAAAGGUAAUAGGGAAAUGUGAUCACGGAAAACGACGUAAUUUUUCUACGAAAACCGGCAAUCCAAACAAGGCUAUUUAGAAAACAAUUUAUAAAAAUAAAAAUAAAAAGCUCUCAAUUUUUUUUUCAACCACUUUUUUUCUCUUACAAGUAUAUUUUUUCAAGAAAGAAAAAAAACUACAAUAAAAUUUUCAUGAACCACCUCCAAAAACGCCAAACCAAACAAAGUCUAAGUUUUUAUGUUAUUUCCAGCAAUUGGAACUUUUGAUUGGUGCCUUAAAAGAGUCUAGUCUUUUUGGUUAAAUAGUCUAAUAAAAUAAAUAUAAUUUACACUUAACCCCUUGUAAUAAUUCAGUUGUCUUCUUUUGCUACCUCCAAUUUUAUUUAUCAUCACUUUGCACUUUCCCUAUUCUUCCCACUUGUUUCCUUCCCUUUCCUUCCUUUUAGAAGGUAACAUAUCUCAAUGGCAGAGAUAAAACUUCAAUUAUUUUGAUUCCCAACAAGAAAAUAUUAUUAAUAAAUCAAAGAGUUCUUUACCAAAGAAUAGCGAGACAAAUUGAAAUUUAAUUACUAUUAUACCCUAAACAUGUUUUUUGCUCGGUUAUCUAAUAAUUAUAGGUCCUGUUUGAUCCCGCGAUUCAGUACUUAAAGUUAAUGGAUUCAAAUCUUAAUAUGUUCAGACUCGUUUGAUAACCAAACAUUGAAGAUCUGAAUUAAUUAAAUGACACUAAAUUUUUUAAACAAAACUUGCUCUCAAAAAAUAAGUGAUGAGUUAUUUACUUUAUCUCUUCAUGUGACAGACACUCAAAUGUAUCAAAUUUAAUAUUUAACAAUUUAACAUCUUAAUGGAUUCAGAUUUCAAAUUCAGAUUUCAAUUUUCAAACUUCAAUUUUAUCAAAUGCAUCAUAGAGAAUUAUAUUGCUCAUGUUUGGAAGGCCUGCUCAAGCGAAUGUUUAACUAGCAGAAUUUGUGUAAAAAUUCAACGCAUAGCUCCUAAUAAAUCAAUAACUUCAUAGCAAAAACAAUUUGAUACAAAAUUGCACCAAAAUCAAAAUCCAAAAUAAUUCAUUCAAAGUUUACAAGUGAGGACAAACAUCUGAAAAAAUGAAGAAGAAGAAGAAGAAACGAAGAAUAUUGUCUUAUUUGACUAAUAAUACUUACAAUUUAAACAGAUGGAGUUUAAGUGCUGACAAACAAAAUUAAGGGAGCACAAAGGGAGACAAGAUUUCAAGUCCAGGGGGUUAAGUAUAAUUUACCUAAAUAAAAUAUUUACAAAUAUGCUCUUUUAGAAAUUAAAAGUACAAGAGUUUAUGCAUAGCGCACAACAGCAGAAAAUUUGCAAAUAUGGUACCUUGCCAAUGAGUAUUUCGUUGGUGUGAGGUCCAUAGAGAUCGGAGGUGUCAAGAUGGGUGAUACCUCUGCUAAUAGCAUGGUGGAUGAGUUUGAUCAUAUCAGGCUCGGGCUUUGGCGCCCCGUAGAAGGCUGACAUGCCCAUGCAGCCCAGCCCUUGAGCUGAAACUACAAGACCUUGCGACCCCAGCUUGAUUCUUGGCACUUUCACUGACGCCGCCAUUUUCAGACACAAGACACAGAGGAAAGAGUUGAGUGGAGCAGAGUUUAUUGUUAAGUAGCUGAGGCCUGAAGAAGAAGUAUGGACUGUACUGAUGAGGGAUUACUGCAGCCUUGAUCUAUGCUUCUAUAGAUGACCCGGGGCCGCCGGCGGCUGGUGGGUCAGCGGGAGGACAUGCAAAUAUAGGAGAUUGUUGGCCCCGUUUCAACUGCCACUUUUUUUAGAGUUUUUUUGUACCAAAACAAAAAAAAAAAUUAGGGAUAAUUUCAGAAACCUCCAUGAGGUUUCUAACAAUUUCAGGUUUGUAAAAUUACACUUACCCCCUUAGUAAUAAAAUCUUAAAAUAAUAUUAAUUUAAUCAAAUUUUUAAAUGAAUAUCCAAAAAUACCCUGUGUAAUGAGUUUUGAUUUACUUUUCUAUAUAAUUAUAAAAUUAUCUAGUAUAGUGAUAAGAAAAAAUAUCAAAUUUUUCAUGUUUAUACCUAUUAUUUGAUAAAUAUUAUAAUAAUAAUUUUAUCACUACGAUAAGAUACUUUUGAUAGUAUUUUAUUAUCGAUUUAAAUUUAUAAGAUAGUAAAGAAAAUAUUGAAAUAAUUUAUUUAGAGUUUAUGAAUUUUUCAAGUAGUGAGAUUUCAUAAUUUAGCAGUGGUUUUAGACCAAUUUUUUAUUUAUUGUUAAUUUUAAUACCAAAAAAAAGAAAAGAAAUAUCAGCAAAACAUUGGAUUAUAUAUAAAAUUAAUUUGUCAAAAAAAUCACUAGUUCAACAUUUGAUUACAAUAGAAACUAGAGACAACAGUGAUAGUUCUACACUUUUAUUAGCAAAAAAAAUAAAAAAAAAAAGGAAUAAGAAGGAAAAAGAAUGAAAAAAUAAUUUUAAAACUCAUUCUAAGUAUAAGCAUAUCAAACAAGGGUAUUUCAUUAAAAUAUUUAACAGUAAAAUUGUUAUUUUAAAUGACUAUGGAGGUAAGUGUAAUUUUUAAAAUUUUAAAAGAGCUAAAUAAAAUUGUUAAAAACCUCAAGGAAGGUUUAUUGUUAAAUUGACUUUUAAAACUCAUUCUAAGUAUAAGAAUACCAAAUAAAAAAAUUUUAUUAAAAUAUUUAAAGGUAUAAUUGUCAUUUUAAAUGACUAGGGAAGUAUGUGCAAUUUUUAAAAUUUCAAAGGAGCUAAAUAAAAUUGUUAAAAAUCUCAAGGAAGGUUUAUUGUUAAAUUGACUUUUAAAACUCAUUCUAACUAUAUGUAUAUCAAAUAAGGGAAUUUUAUUAAAAUAUUUAAUGGUAGAAUUGUUAUUUUAAAUUACUAGGGAGCUAUGUAUAAUUUUUAAAUUUUUAAAUUUUUAAAGGAGCUAAAUGAAAUUGUUAAAAACCUCGAGAAGGUUUUAUUGUUAAAUUGACUUCUUCUGAUGCCGCCAUUUUCAGACAAAAACACGACACAGAGGAAAGAGUUGAGUGGAGCAGAGUUCAUUGUUAAGUAGCUGAGGCCUGAAGAAGAAGUAUGGACCGGACUGAUGAGGGAUUAUUGUAGUCUUGGUCUAUGCUUUUAGGGAUAAUUGCAGAAACCGCUCCUGAGGUUUCUGACAAUUGCACUUACUUUCCCUAAAAUUUGAAAAAUAGCACUAACUUUUUUUGAACUUAAGAUUUUGAUAAUAACUUCAGCUCAUGUUAGAGAAAGUACCACUAAAAAAGUCUUCUGAGAAGUGAGAGAAUAAUUUUCUUUCAUUUAUACCCUUUUGCCAUUUGUGAGGUAGUCUUAGUAAAAGAAUAAAAAAUAUUAAGAGAUGAAAAUAAUUAGUGAAACUUAGAAGAUAUAUAUAUAUGUGUUUUUUAUAAUAAUAAAAAAAACACAAGACAAGAUAUAUAUAUAUAUAAUUUAUAUGUUUUUAUAAUUAUUUUUCAUUAUAUAUGUUUUAUAUGUUUUCAUAAAAAAUUUACAUUUUAUUAUAUAUUAUAUGUGCGUGGGGUAGAAUGAAAAAAGUUUUACGAGUGUACAAGAAAUGAAAACCAAAAUAAAAAUGGAAAAUGCUUACCUUUGUGCUUACCUCAUCCAAGUCAUAGUCAGAUGUUGAUCCCUCCGAGUCUACCCAGACUUGCAGGUCAAUUACGCAUCCUCAUUCAAUUUGUCCACUUUUUUCAAUAAUAACAUCUUGGGUUAAUUACAUUUACCUCCCCUGAGGUUUGACCAUAUUACCAAUCAAUCCCUGUAAUUUGGCCAAAUAACAGUCUCACCCUUUGAAUGAUCAAACGUUUAACAAAAACCCCCUUAAUGUCGAAAAUGCCCUUUUUGAGGCCAUAUUGCAUUAAAAAAAGAACAUAUUUUUAUUUAUUAACCUUCAAGUAAUCCAAAAAAAUAGAAAAAAGUUUUUGCUUAUUAUUUUAUAAAAAUCAUAUCUUUGCUUCCAUAAAUAGUUUUGAAUCAAUAAUUAUUUUAAAUCUUAAAAAUGAAUAUUAAAAAUUAGAUAAAUUGAAAGAAAAAUAAAAAAGAAGUAAUUAUUUUAAAUCCUCAAGUAUGGUUCGAAUUUGUGGUUCAAGGCACGUUGCGGAGAGCACAAGGCAUGUUUUCCUCAAUUUGAACCAUACUUCAGGAAUUAAAAUAAUUUCUUCUUUUUUUAUUUUUCUUUCAAUUUAUCUAAUUCUUAAUAUUCAUUUUUAAGAUUUAAAAUAAUUAUUGAUUCAAAACUAUUUAUGGAAGCAAAGAUAUGGUUUUUAUAAAAUAAUAAGCAAAAACUUUUUUUUAUUUUUUUGGAUUGCUUCAGGGUUAAUAAAAUAAAAAUAUGUUCUUUUUUUAAUGCAACAUGGCCUCAAUAAGGGCAUUUUCGGCAUUAAGGGGGCUUUUGUUAAAUGUUUGAUUAUUCAAAGGGUGAGACCGUUAUUUGGACAAAUUACAGGGAUUGAUUGGUAAUAUGGUCAAACCUCAGGGGAGGUAAAUGUAAUUAACCCUAACAUCUUUUGACGGAUUUGUAGUGCAGACAAUAAAAUAUUAAAAUGUCUCGUGCAAUAAAUAGCGGACAUUUGCUUCCUCAUUACGAAGAACAUACAUAGGGAGUGCCAAAAGCAAGGGCUGCGAUUCUACGUGUUGACCAUCUAGAAGCUUGUUGCUGUAUGGAUGGCAACAUCCUUUUUAAUAAAAUUGAAGUUUUAAAAAUUUAAAAUUUAAAUUUAAAUUCAUUAAAUUAUUAAAUAUUAAAUUUAAUAUAUUUGAAUGUCUGUCACGUUAAUUAAUUAAUUAAUAGGUUAUUACUUUUUUGAAUUAUUUUAUUUAAAAAAUUUUAUGUCAUCCUUUUUGAAUUACGUUUUGGAUCGCAAUUCAUGUCAUAACUUUGCAUGGAUAUCAAAUACAGGUAUACUAGUAUUUUGACCCGUGCAUUGCAUGGGUUUAUAUAGGAGGGAGGAAAAAAUAUAUGGUCAAACACAACAUUAUUAUCUAUUUCUCUCAUAUUCUUCCCCUUGGUGCCACUUUUUUCACCUCUCAAUCUCCUUUUUCCUCGAUAUUCCCCGUACUCUCCACUACUAUUCUUUUCACUUUAUAAAUCUAACCUUUUUGCAUCUUUAUAACCUUUUUUAUUUCCUUCAUUUCCUACUCAAUUUUUUUGUAUCCCUACAACCCUUUCUCGUUUCAUCAAAUCCUAUUUUCUCUUUGCUCUAUCUCGCUCCCACCCAAUUACGCUAUCUCUUACUCAAAUUUACAGCACACUUGUCUUCUAUUCUACUAUUAUUUUCAUCUAUUUAUAAAUGUAAAUGGUUACCUAUUUACUUGGCUUACCUAUUAACAAAUGAGUUUGCGUAUGUAAUUUAAUUGGAUUCAAAUGGGUGACCAAAUUAACCCAUUAAUUAGUGGGUAUGAAAUUGACAGAUUGGGAUCACUUAUUUUGACUUAAUUAAAUUAGACGUAGAUUCAAACUCAAUCAUUAAUGGAUAAAUCUAAAUUACUCUAAUAAUUAUAUUCUAAAUUUUGCAAUGAUGUAUUCAUCGUUUUUUCUCUUCUUUAAUUUCUAUUAUUUUAUUUUUUAAAUUUUAUCCUACUUCCUCCAUUCCUUUCAUAAAAGUUUAAUAAAUUUCAUGAAUGUUAAUUGAUUGUUUGCAUUAAUACCUAAAUUAUUUUUAAAUUGUCGUAAAGUGACAAAAUUUGAAACUCACUAUGAUAACCAUUCAGGCUCCUCUAAGUGAUUUUUUUGUUUUUUUCUCUUUCUUAAGGUAAAAAUUGAUUUAUUAAUUCGAUAUAUUGAUAUGAUUUACUAUUUUGUUGCUAAACAAAAUGUGGAUGAAAAAGUAAAUAAAAUUUAGUAGUGGGCCGUGAAUGGGUGAUUGGAUAAUCCAAAUCCAUAUAAAACUAUAUUCAUUAACGACUCGUCUAUUUUGAACCAUUAACUAAGUAGAAAUAUAUAGGUUAACCUAGUUAUAACUUGCCCAAACUCACAUGAAUCAUCUAAUUUGAUAACUCUCCCCUAAUCUUUACCUUCUCUAACCCUACAGUCCUAUCUUUCUAAUCCUUUCACUAUUUAGGAUUCAUCAUCUCACUUUUUAAGUAUUUUUGGACAUAAAAAAAGUUAGAAUUAUUUUUCCAAGUUGCUGUCUCAUUUUUAAGUGUUUUUAAUCAAAUAAAAAGCUAGAAUUGCAAUUAUCGAGAAAAAGUAAACUUUCGGAUGUAAAUUUGGUGACAUACAACCUUUUUUAUCAAAAUUUUGCUAAAAUACCACCAAAAACAACCUUCUAGAUACACCUUUAUUAAUUUAAAAUUCAUACAUAAAUUUUUCUUUACAUGCACUUUUUGGUGUACAUGUGCUAAAUGAAAAGUCAUCUAGAUGCUUGCAUAAUAUUACUAUUGAGUUUAUUUUAAGUGCAAAUAAAAUGUCAUAUUGUUAUUUACAUGCUCCAAUUUAAUGUUAGAGUAUAAUUUCAACAUUCAAAUUUUAAAACUUUAAAAAAACAAACCUAUAUAAAAUUCAACAUAAAAAUUAUAAAAAGAAAACCUAUUAAAGUGUCCUAAGCUUGUUGAAUACAAAAUAAAAAGGAUAAGUUUAAGACUGCAAGAAAAUUGAUUUAGUAAUUGUAACAUAAAUUAUUAAAAAAUAAGAGUAAUCAAGUAUAUCAUUAGAAGAUGUUGACAAAUGAUUAUUGUACCCAGAAGAAAAGCGACAAAGAAAUAAUUGGGUGAAUAACUAAAAAAUAAGACUAAUCACAUUAUCUCGAGGAUUUGGCUAGAUAAAUUAAUCCUCUUUAAUGAAGGAAUAAAAGGGGCUAAAGUGAUAAAGAUAUAAUAGGGUGAAUAAUUUUAAAAUGAGACUAAUCAAUUAUCCUUGAGAAUUUUGACUGACAAAUGUAUUUUAUUUAAUUAAGGAGUAAAAAGGACUUAAAGUAUAAAUAAUAAACUAUAAACGGUUUAUAAAGGAGAUAGUGGGAAAGUUUUAAAUUUUAAAUUUGACUAGUGAUAGGAUUAGUUAUAACCCACUAUUUUAAAGUUUUUAAUUAGAUUUUAUGUAUUAAAAUAAAUACAAAAAUUUAGAAAAAAAUAAUGAAAAGUUUGGAAGUUAUUGAGAGGGUCUUUAAUAAAAACCCUCUCUGCAGUACAUAUAGAUAUAGGUGAUGUUUGGAUAUUAGAUUAUUUGGGAUAUUUGUCUAAGUUUAUGCUUGUAUUAUAGCAUGAAAAGUACAUGAUAUGAGAAAAAUACAAGCUUGCAUUAUAAUAAGUACCUAGUUUUCAAUUUCUUUAUGUAGAAUAUUUUCUUGAAUAUUAAUUUUUGACAUGUAUUAUAAUAUGUACCCUUAUGCAAUUUAUAUAGCUAUAGAUAUCAGAAAACACAUAUAAUACAUGUAGAAACCAGAGUGAAUGCUGGAGAUAAAGAAAAAAGAGUUUACAUUUGUAAUUUUAGAUUUGGAUAAUACAAAAAUACAUGUGUAUCAAAAAAAUCUCUUUUUCCUCUCAAAUGUUAAAGUUGUGUAUUAUCAUCAAAUUGUUGGAUUUGAAAUAAUUAAAAUUUUUAAUUGAUGAGCAUAUAGUCGACAAUCAAGAUUUUGAAACCAACUCAUUACAUUUUAAAAAUUAAAAUAAAUAGAAAAUCAACGAAAAAGGAAUUAAUUGUUUGGAGGUCUAGGAAGGCUUCCAACUAAAAAACCCUUAUGCAAUAUAUAUAUAUAUAUAUAUAUAUAUAUAUAUAUAUAAUACAUUUAGAAACUAAAGCGGAUCUUGGAAAUAAAAAAAAAAGAAUUUUCAAUAGUAAUCUUAGAUUAGGAUAAUACAUAACCAAAAAUACAUAUGGACCAGAAAAUUCUUUUUCCCUCUCAAAUGUUAAAGUUGCAUAUAUCAUCAAGUUGAUAGGAUUUGAAAUAAUUUAAAUUUUGAAAUGAUGAGAAGAGAUUCUACAAUCAAGAUUUUGAAAUUAGCUCAUUGCAUUUUAGGAAUUAAAAUAAAUAAAAAAUCUUCAAAAAAGGAAUUGACAGUACAUUUUAGGAAUUGAAAUAAAUAGAAAAUCUCUGAAAAAGGAUGUGACAUUUAAUUUUAGGAAUUAAAAUAAACAGCAAGAAAUUAAAAUAAAUAAAAAAUCUAUUGAGAAUUUGGAAGCUUUUAUCCAAAAAAAAACCGAAUUCAUAUAGAUAUGGACUAGUUUUCAAUUUCUUUACCUAGAAUAUUUUGUUGAAAAUUAGCUGUCUCAGUCAAGGCCAGCAAUCAACCGGGGCCUACUCCACACUAACCAAGCUGUCCUCUUUCGGCACCUGCUAUAUAUUCAGUCAUCCCGGCCUCCUUCCUUCUCUGUCCUUACUCACCAAGCAGUAAGCCCUGAUCCAUUCCGCUCUUUCCUCCUCUGUGUUUUUCUAUCUGAAAAUGGCAGCACCAGUCAAAGUGCCAAGAAUCAAGCUGGGAUCGCAAGGUCUCGAAGUUUCAGCUCAGGGGCUGGGCUGCAUGGGCAUGUCAGCCUUCUACGGCCCACCAAAGCCCGAGUCCGACAUGAUCAAACUCAUUCACUAUGCUAUUAGAAGAGGCAUCACCCAUCUUGAUACCGCGAAUUUUUAUGGACCCCACACCAACGAAAUCCUCAUCGGCAAGGUAACUUCAAUCCACGGGCGGAUUUAACGUGGGGCACUGGGCCGGCCUUCACUGCCUCUUAAAUUCCUAUAGUAUUUGUACAAUUUUGAUAUAAUUUUAAAUGUACCUCCAUAAUUUUCUUAAAAAGGAUGUGAAAGAAUUAUAUGAUUUUUUAAUUUAGUUCAUAAAUUAAAAUUCUAAAAAGAUACAUGAGGCACAAAUUUCAUUUGAAAUAAAGUAAAAAAAAAUCUUUUCAUUUUAACUAGUAAGUAUCAAUUAUAUCAUUUACUUUCUCUGAGCUCCACUCCCCAAUUUCCUUUCCCUCCUUUAGUACUCCAUUUUUCCCCACAACCGAGAGCCACUAUCUUUCACAAUCAAGCAGUUAACUACUCUUUUUCUUGAUCAAUACAUCAAAUCAUGUCAUUCACUUCUUUUGUCCCCACUUCUCAAUUUCCUUUCCCUCCACUGGUCCCCCAUUUUCCUCCACAACCGAGCGUCAUUCUUACUUUCACAACCAAAUUAGUUAUCAAAAUAUAAAAACUCGCAGUGAGCAAUUGUAAAUAGUUUAGUUUUUUUUAAAUAAAAUUAUUAAAUUAAUAAUUUUGAAUUUGUCUUUUUAUGUUUUUCAUGGAAUAUAUGCAUCAUUUGUACUUGUUGGUGAAACUUUUUUUUCUUAAAAAAUUAGAAAAAAAGUAAAUAAAAAAUUUUAGUGUUGCUUUUGUUCCCACUAAAAAUUAUUUCUGGCUCCGCCACUGCUUUAAUCACAUUUGCAUUUUUCUGCAGUUGUGCGGUAUGCAUGAACUCUUCUACUUUUAGUUUUGACUCUGUUCCUGGUUGCUUUAGGUUUUCCAUAAUUUGAUUAUGGUAAGUGAUUACAGAAAAUAAUUAGAAUCAGUAAGAUCUGCUCUUUGGCCAAUUAUGAAUUAUAGCUUUUUUGGUUAUUAAAAAAAUUAUAAUCUGAAACAUCACAAAAAUUGAUUAUUUAAAAUCAGAAUCUAUGAUCGAUAAAAAAUAAUCAACCAAGAAGAAUUAUGAGCAGACUUGAGCAGAUAAAUUAUACUUAACCUCCUGUAAUAUCUGUAAUUAAAAGCUUGAACGGAUCUUAUACUUUGAGUUAGAAAAGUAGUCAGGGAGAUUUUCAAAUUUAUAUUCAGGUAAAUCACACUUAGUCCUCGAUAAUUAAAAGCUUGUAUCAUUUUGUCCCCCUUAAUUUUUUUUGUUGGCUCUUAAAGUCCAUUUGUCAAUCCAAAAAGCUUGUAUCUUUAUUCUAAUGGAAUGUUAACCAAGAGAGAAGUGUGUUUGGAUUGACAUUUUAAGCAGGGAAAGAAGAGGAGAUAAGGGAAAGGAAGGAAGGAGCAAGGUUGGUUGUUUUCCUUGAGUUUUAUUUCCAUCCAAACGUGGACAAAGUUACAUUUCCAUUCAAAAGAAAAGAAAGGAAUUUUGCUUUUUAAUGAUUUUCUAUUUAAAUGCCUCAAAUACCCAAAUUUUGGACUUUGGAUUUGAUUCCUUUCCUUUCUGUCAUUUAACCAAACAACAUCUUUAAGUUUUGUUUCACAUCCAUAUCUAAUCCAAACGAGUAAAUUCUCGAAAAGAGGGAUUUUCUAAAUUCACUUCCCAAAAGGUGGUGUUCUUUAAACUUCUUCUCAAAGGGUGAAAAAUGAACUUAAUAAAUGAGUUGUUUCCUCAAAAGACAGAUUCACAAAAUGCAUUCUUUUAUUUGUCUAGGCAUUUUUCCUUAAAAAAAUGCAUUCACUAAAUGCAUUGUCUAAAAGACACAUUUAGUUGUUUCAGAACUCUCACUAUUUGGGAACUCUUUUUGAAAUGUACCCCUGUUUGAGAAUUUUCCUUCCGAAAACACAAUAGGCGAACUGUACUCCUCUAUCUCCUUUCCUUUCCUUUUUUCACUAGGAUGUUUUCAUUUCUUUUCCUUCCCUUGAAUCCAAAUGGAUCCUAAUAGGGCACUAUUUACUGCACCUUAAUAAUUUGAUUAAGUAUGAGGUUCCUAUUUUUGUAUUAUUGUUCAUGUAUACGAAACUGUCUAUGCUCAUGUUUUCCAUCUAAUCUUAUCAGUGGUAAAGGUAGACUGUGAAUUUGUAUUCGAAGAAACAGAAAUAAGAGCAGAAAAAAGGAAAGGGAUUGGCUCCUUUAACUGAAUCAAGCUUCUAAAGUCCGUGGUUUACAUAAUUUUCAUUCUGCGUGUUACCAUAUUCAAUAGGAAGAAGCAGCAUAGUCUUAAAAAUGGAAAGGAUGGAAAAUCUCAGACAGAUUGUGCCAUGCAUGGAUCACAAAUCAACUUGCUGUAACAUGCAAUAAUGUUCAUGUCCUCCAUGAUUGAUGUUAUGAAAGUGUGGUUUUAGGCCUUGAAGGAAGGAAAGAGAGAGACAAUGCAGCUAGCAACAAAAUUUGCAUUCAUUGAUCAGGAUGGGCAGUCUGGUAUACGUGGUGAUCCAGCCCAUGUGAGAGCUGUAUGUGAAGGCAGCUUGAAGCGGCUUGGUUUGGAUUGCAUUGAUCUCUAUUAUCAGCCUCGCAUUGAUACAAAUGUGCCCAUUGAAGUCACGGUUUGCUCCAUUUUACCUUUCUUGUUUAAAUCUCCAUCUCAUUCUUAAAAAAAUGAAAGUUUGAUCAACUUCAAAUUUAGGCAUACAACUGCUUUUCAUGUCCUUUGCAAUUGCUUAAAAUAUACAAAAAAAAAGGUCUUAAAAAAUGCAAUUUGUGUGCUAUACAUGUUGAUCUGCAUUAAGGUAAAGCUUUAUUUAGCACCAGCAUCUCAAAAAUAAAGAGAACCAAACUAUUAGUCUUGUAAGCAUAAAAAUUGUAGCUUGACUGCCCUGCUGAGGGAGUUACUAAUGGAUAUGACAUGCUAUAGAUUCUAUGGCUUUCCUUUAGAGCCAGAAGACCUGUGCAUUCUCUUUCUUUUGAAAUUUGUAAUCCGGUUGAGUAAUCAUAUGCUAAUUUAUACACCUUGUCAGUUGUCAGUUGCCACAUCUUUUAAUUCAGUGCAUAAAGCAGCAGAUUGGUACUCAGUUUUUAUCAAAUUGAAGUUUUUUUGGAACGAUUUAUAUAAAUUUUUUCCUAGUGUAGCUAGCAAAACAUAUUUUGCUUUUCUUGAGCAGCAGGAAGAAAUUUUCUUAUCGCACAAUCACUCAAAAUUCAGGUAAGUUUGAAUGAGAUCAAGCAAAAUUGAUGAUUGGCAAUUGAUAUGUGCAGCCAUUAGUCUGUUUAGAAGAAGUCAAGAAAAUUGUAUAAUGUUGUAUAAUGUGGUAUAAUGAUAUCAGAGCUAAGUCAACCAGUGAGUUAAUAACAUCAUCAUCUAGAGAAACAUCUUGGCUGCUUGUUGCCAUUUUUGUCAAGUAGUGCUUUGAGCUUGAUGUAUACUUUGUCAAGAUUGUGCUGCUGCACUGAACUAGUGCUACUUUUCGUAUGUGGAUGUAUAAUUUCGAUUCUCUACCUUCGUAUGGAAUUUAAUAAAUCAGCUUGGAAUUUUCUCGUCCAUUAAAAAUUCUAUUUUGCCCAGGUAGGAGAAUUUAAGAAAUUGGUUGAAGAGGGUAAAAUAAAGUAUAUAGGUCUGUCUGAGGCCUCAGCUUCAACAAUUAGAAGAGCACAUGCUGUUCAUCCAAUAACAGCUAUACAGUUGGAGUGGUCAUUGUGGAGCAGAGAUGUCGAGGAAGAGAUCAUUCCCACUUGCAGGUAGUGUAUUUAUUCUGCUUCAUUUUCUACAUGGUCUGGAAGAAAUAUGAAGUUGUAAGUUCAUUUUGGUGUAAUCUUGUAGAGAGCUUGGAAUAGGGAUUGUUGCAUACAGUCCACUUGGAAGAGGAUUCUUCUCUUCGGGUCUAAAGCUGGUUGAGAAUUUGACUGACGAUGACUACCGAAAGGUUUGUGAAUAUCCAAAAAGAUUAGUAGUUCCUAGUGUAGUAUAGUCAGUUGCAAUCUUUCUCAAUAUCCCUAUUCUUAUCUAUCUGUUACAUGUUGCUGCACUAAUUGAUGUCCAAUAAUUUGGUGGAACUUCUCUAAAACUAUCUAAUAUAAUUAACUUCUAUCCAACAGAGCGACUAAACAAGCUUUUUUCUAUCUGACAAGUCUUGGUCGUCUUGGAUUCCAGUAAAUCCAGUUUUUGGGAUUGUUAGAAACUGAACCUUUUGUAGAGACAGGAUAGAAAUUGUGUGCUCUGUUUUUUGUUCGAAUUUAAAGAUAGCACUAGCGUUAUCAACUAUCACGAGCAGUGGGAGUUUUCUAUUUUAUGGUGCAAAAAUAUCCUGGACAUGAAAAAGGCAGAAGGCAAGAAACUAUGGCAUUUUUUAAUAAUUGUCUCUGCAAUUUUGAGGAGAAAUGGACUUUCAUUUCAAUGCAGUUAUUAUCGAUCAUCUUGAAGUUAUUCGUAAUACCUUCAUUUAUAGACAGCACAUGCUUUACUCCCUUUUGAAUUUCUGGCGUUACAGUUGCUUAAGUUUUGAAAUUCAUACAAUGCAGCAUAUGCCAAGGUUUCAAGCAGAGAAUUUGGAGCACAACAAGAACUUGUACGAGCGGGUCAAUGCCAUUGCUUCAAGGAAGGGUUGUACUCCAUCACAGCUAGCAUUGGCCAGGGUCCAUCACCAAGGCAAUGAUGUUUGCCCCAUACCUGGCACUACCAAGAUUGAGAACCUCGAUCAGAAUAUAGGAGCUUUGUCUGUAAAACUGUCGGCAGAGGAAAUGGCAG